CCUCUAGACAAAAGUAAUCCAAUAUAUGUUGUUAAACAUAUAUGAUUCUUCUAUACGUAUUUCCACAAUUUUCAUGCUGCACAAGAAAAAUCAGGUCAAAAAAGGAAAAAAAAAAAAAUCAACAAAAAGGAAGCAAAACACCAACAUAAAAAGUAAAAAUCCUAUGUUGUGAUCCACAUUCAUUCUCCACAGCUUCUGCAUGCAGCCUAUUGGAAUUGGCUUAAAUCAUCUCGUUGUUGAAAAGAACCAUGUCCAUCAGAGUUGAUUAUUGUAUAAUCUUGUUGCUGUAUACAAUGUUCUCCUCACUUCACUCAGCAUCAGUUCAUGUAAGUUUCUCCACGCCUUUGUAAAAUCAUGUUGCUCAUCAUUUCUUAUAGAAUAGUAUUUCAUUACAUUCAACUAUCAUGACUUAUUCAUCCAUGGGCAUCCCCUCAGUUUCCAGUUUCUUGCUAUUACAAAAAGAGCUGCUACAAACAUUUUUGCACAUGUGGGUCUUUCUCAUGAUCUCUUUGGGAUACAGGCCCAGUAGAGGCACUGCUGGAUCAAGGUGUAUGCACAGUUUGAUAGCUUUUUGGGCUUAGUUCCAGAUUAGAAGCCCAUUUUUUGAAGAAUUUAAGCUGAGAUCAAAAAUGAGCCUUUCAACAAUUAUUCUACUAGGUUUGUUGUCUCUUGGGAAAAAAAAAAUAUAUCUAGUUCCUAGACUCUCAAUCAGAAUUGCUAGUUAAUUCAAUUUUAGUAAAGAUCAAGAUCAAUUUCUCCCCCUUGUGAAACUCUUUUUCAGGUUAUUGCCAAUUAAAUCUCUUGCUUUUUUCUUUCUUUCUUUCUUUUUUUUUUGGUAGUUACUAAACUGUGCAAUUCUGAUUAUAAUUCAUUGGUAUUUGAUUACUUUGUUCCUGGAUGCUUGCAGUACUUUUUCUUUAACUUGAAAAUUCAGAAUUUAGCUUAUUAUUUCUGAAUGGUUUAUUUUAGGUAGUGAAUUUGCUCUCUGGCUCUAAAAGUCCUAGGCAGUUUUCUUACAUGGUUUCAGUAUGAAGAGGAAUUUGUUGUUGUCUGACAACUAAUUUGCAGGGAUUUCAAUCUUGUUUUCAGUCAGUUCUUUUUAAAAAUAGCUAUCUCCUUGUUAUUCUAAUUUUUUAGUCUUUCAAAUUUGUUCUACUAUUUCUUGUUGUCUCAUUAAAUCUUAUAUCUGCUCAUUUUUAUUUUACUGAGUAUUCACUAUUUAUCUCAGGUUGUUUGCUUUUUGCUUUAAAACUGUUUAUCCUCUUUUCAAGCAAUCUAAUUUUAUUUUAAUCUUAAAAAUCUUGUUUCAACUCUUCCUGAAUUUCUUCCAUCUACUGUUGGAAGUCCUUAUAGCCCAUUCAUUUUUCCUGAGGCUCAGAUUAUAAUAGUUCAAUAACUACCUUCAAAGAUUUCAUCUUGAGAUUCUUUCAAAAUAUUAUUUAUUUGAAGUUUUCCUGCUUGUCAUGUUCACAGUUUCUAGUCUUUAGUUUAGAUUUUGUGCCACAGCUAAGCUCUAUUAUUUCCUGCCUUGGUGGGUAGAGUGGCUAGCCCAAAGUCAUGUCUCUUGCUACUGUUCUGAAGCAGGAUGAUAUACUGGGUCUAGGUCCUUUAUCUGUUGAAAAUAUUGAAAGAGAUGCUUUUUAAGUUCUUUAGUGGGAAUUUGCCUGGCGGACAGACCCCCUCCUUCUUCUAAAGCCCUAAACUGCAAUUACAGUCUGGGCAUGGAACCAGAAGCUAGAUGCAAAGUUCUACCUACCACAGUAGUUGGCAGGUUCUUACUACCUUCUGGGUCCUCCCUUGACUAUGAGUUGCACUAGUCUUAUUUCUUUUUGUAAUUAUCUACCAGACAACCAUGGCUUCAGGUCCUGAGGUAACCUGGCUCAAAAACUUCUAGUUUCCUAGGAGGGUCUUCGUUCUCUACCAGGCUAUCUGUAGGUUUUCACUUUCAGACCCUGAGUCCUAGAUCUCAGCCCUUGAAGGAGCUCCAAGUAAAUUGGCACUGACCUGUUUCAUUGUGCAGUCAUGUUUUUUGUCUUUUAAAGUGGCUUCACAGAACAUGGGACUGAAUUUUGACCAAUCUUCUAGGUUAUUCCUGGACUUUGGGUCAUGUCUUUAGUACAUGACUGUGCUGUUACCUACUAGGAAUCCCUGGAGAGUCCCUUGUUUCAGAUUUCCGCUUUGUGCCAUACUUGAUAGGAGAGGAAAACUCAAUGAUGUUUUUCUUUGAUCUUGAUGUUUCGUAUGGUAUUCUUCAUUGUUAAUAAGGUUUUCCUCAGAGUAUCUGGUCUUGGCCAGAACCUUUCACAUUGCUACCUUAAGAAGUACAGAACAAUAAAUUGUUAACUUGUCAAAAGAGUCUUAAUGAUAACCAUCUUUGUCAAAAUAAUGAAUGAAACUAAUUCAUUACUUAG
ensembl:lncRNA